rnacentral:rRNA from 1 species
AUUGAACGCUGGCGGCAGGCCUAACACAUGCAAGUCGAACGGUAACAGGAAGAAGCUUGCUUCUUUGCUGACGAGCGGCGGACGGGUGAGUAAUGUCUGGGAAACUGCCUGAUGGAGGGGGAUAACUACUGGAAACGGUAGCUAAUACCGCAUAACGUCGCAAGCCCAAAGAGGGGGACCUUCGGGCCUCUUGCCAUCGGAUGUGCCCAGAUGGGGUUAGCUAGUAGGUGGGGUAACGGCUCACCUAGGGGACGAUCCCUAGCUGGUCUGAGAGGAUGACGAGCGACACAGGAACUGAGACACGGUCCAGACACCGACGGGAGGCAGCGGUGGGGAAUAUUGCACAAUGGGCGGAAGCCUGAUGCAGCCAUGCCGCGUGUAUGAAGAAGGCCUUCGGGUUGUAAAGUACUUUCAGCGGGGAGGAAGGGAGUAAAGUUAAUACCUGUGCUCAUUGACGUUACCCGCAGAAGAAGCACCGGCUAACUCCGU